GGAUGUGAGGGCGAUCUGGCUGCGACAUCUGUCACCCCAUUGAUUGCCAGGGUUGAUUUGGCUGAUCUGGCUGGCUAGGCGGGUGUCCCCUUCCUCCCUCACCGUUCCAUGUGUGUCCCUCCCGAAGCUGUGUGCUCGGUAGAAGAGGACAACCAUCCCCGACAGAGGAGGACUGGUCUUCGGUCAAGGGUAUAUGAGUAGCUGCGCUCCCCUGCUAGAACCUCCAAACAAGCUCUCAAGAAAAGCAAAAGCAAAAAACAAAAAAACGAACCAGAAAGAUGGCCAGGUGCGGUGGCUCACCCCUGUAAUCCUGGCACUU
rnacentral:snRNA from 1 species